GGUACAUCUACAGGGCAAGCAGGAUCCUGUGGCAGUGAGUCGGCCUUGUCUACACUACAGGGGAAAUUCGAUCUAAGCAAAACAAUUUGAGUUGCGUGAAUAGCGUAACUCAAAUUGCCGUAGCUUAGACCAACUUACCACGGGUCCACACUACAUGAUGUCGAUGGGAGACGCUCUCCUGUCAACUGCCCCAACUCUUCUUGAUCUGGUGGAGUACAGGAGUCGACAGCAAAGCAAUCUGCGGUCGAUUUAGCGGGUCUUCACUAGACCCGCUAAAUGGAUUGCCCAUGGAUCGAUCGCCAUUCAUGGAUCCCCUGGUAAGUGUAAACAAGCCCUCAGAGGCCCGUGUAUAGACUCAGGCUUGUGGGGCUCGUGCCAGAGCACUAAAAAUACCUGUGCAGACAUUUGGGCUCAAGCUGGAGCUUGGACUGUGAAGCCGAGGGUACUGAAAAUUGGAAUUAUUCUCCCAAGUCACUUAGAUACUUUUGAAAAUUUUACCCAAGUCUAUGAAGUUCAUUAUGAAAUUAUAGGCUACUCUUUAAACUAACAUUUAAAAUGGGUCAGGUGUAAAAGUUUAGCCAGGCAAAGCUAAGGAAAUACUUGCAAGUUGUAAUGGGCUUCUCUGUGGUAAAUGGAGGAGCUGGUUACACAAAAAGAGAACAGAAACAAAUGAAUAGGUGAUGGGAGAAGGGCAGGAGCCAGGGGGAAGAUAAGAGUGGGCAGGGAGCCAGGCACGAUAGUUGCAGGAAAAGGGACGUGGACAGUAGUGGAGGGGAUAAAUACUGAAGGAACAGGGAGAGACUGGGGGAGGGAAAGGGGCAGAAGUGUCUGAAAGCACUACAGCAAGUUCCCCUCUAGAAUGUGGAAUGGAACCCAUUAUUCCUGAACAUUCUCAGCAUUCUUCUGUUGUCUAGCAAAUAGCUGUGAAACACGCUGACAAAGUGUGUGUCCUCAUUUCCUCUAGAGGCAGUUCCACAUAGAAGAUUAAACCUAAUAGUGCUACCACUUACUUACUGCAUUAGAGAAGUGAUUAAAAGAAAAGUAAAAAUUAUCCAUCUACAUGGAAAGAAUCAUUUCUAAAAUUUUGCAUUUUUGGUUAUGGCUGAGCUACUUUAGGAAGCAUGAAUGAAUGGCAUGUGGUCCUCCCUUUUUAUUUAACUGUAUAAUUUAUUACAGCAUUUUUCUUACAUUAUGUUCACACUCUGAUUGUCCCCUACCUUCAUUAGGUGUAGUCAGUGAUUCCGGGGUUGAUAUUACUCCAAUGUUCUCUGGUGUGAAAGUGGAUGAAAAGUAGUUAUCUCUUUCCGGUGUUGUGUAAUCCACAGCAGCUGUCAGAAAGAUGAGGAAAGAAAUUAAGAGAAAGAACUAGUCAUGGCUCUGAGAACUGGGGGUAUUGGUUAAAAGAUUUAAAUCUAAUGUUUUGUGGAAAAACGAAUUAAUGCUGUAGCCUUCCAUUUGUGCAGAUGUGGGUCAAAAUUGUAUUGUAAAGUUAAUAAUAAAGUCCUAUAGAAUUGAAAUUAGGGAGCUUUUGUCAUUGACAUUGUUGGUUGAGGACUGGGUUCUUAAGGAGCAAAAGUGGAAGUGAGUUAAAAGAAAGCAAUUAAAGCAAGUAAAAAUUCUGCAUGGAAGGAAGCAUGGACAAUCAUACCUCCACCAGCAGAGAAACCCAUGUAGGCAUUACACAGCAUGCCUAGCCAUGUCAAUAUUCAACUUUGCCUAAGCAUUUGUGAUAGUGAGAGCAACAAUAGUUAAUUUUCUGUAAGUUUCAGAGACAAGUGGUCUCUGGCGCAAAAGUGGAUGAAGAGGAGCUAUCUGUUUCUGGUGUCGUGUAAUCUGCAGCGGCUGUCAGAAAAUUGAGGAAAAGAGACAAGAUGCCCAUUUCCACAUCCAGCGGAAAACUUCCCUUUCUGAAUUGUGAUAUCAUAAUGCCAAAUUAUCUCCUUUCUUCUACAUAUUAAAGCGGUCUUGCCUGAGAUCUCUAUGUGGCACCAUAUGUACUUACCAAAUGCCUGAAACAAUUUGAUAAUCUGGUUUGCAGGGAUAUAUUAAUAAACUCUUCAAAGUA